GACGAACGCUGGCGGCGUGCUUAACACAUGCAAGUCGAACGGAAAGGCCCUGCUUUUGUGGGGGGCUCGAGUGGCGAACGGGUGAGUAACACGUGAGUAACCUGCCCUUGACUUUGGGAUAACUUCAGGAAACUGGGGCUAAUACCGGAUAGGAGCUCCUGCUGCAUGGUGGGGGUUGGAAAGUUUCGGCGGUUGGGGAUGGACUCGCGGGUUAUCAGCUUGUUGGUGGGGUAGUGGCUUACCAAGGCUUUGACGGGUAGCCGGCCUGAGAGGGUGACCGGCCACAUUGGGACUGCGAUACGGCCCAGACUCCUACGGGAGGCAGCAGUGGGGAAUAUUGCACAAUGGGCGGAAGCCUGAUGCAGCAACGCCGCGUGCGGGAUGACGUCCUUCGGGUUGUAAACCGCUUUCGCCUGUGACGAAGCGUGAGUGACGGUAAUGGGUAAAGAAGCACCGGCUAACUACGUG
rnacentral:rRNA from 1 species